CCAACGCAUCCGUACUCCACUGGUCUGGCCAGCAGAGCGACUGUCCUCCCAGUCGGACACCAACCGCGGAGCUGAACACGUUGCACAACGCAAUCCUAUUAUUUUCCAUUUUUAAUCGAUCUGUCAUCUCGAGAAUGACAUCUUGUGAUGAAUCGAAUAAUUGAGGCCUUCGUAAAUCACCUCACGCUGUCAAAAUUUUCAUCGCUAGACGAGGGAGAGGGACUGACAGACUAGAGAAUAGUGGGGAGACAUCGGCCGAACAGCCUUGAUCCACCGAGAUAUCUCGAUUGGUCAACGAGGCAGAUGUGCAAGCAUGAGGAGGAUAGAAUGUGUUUGAGGGCCUCUGCACGUGCUGCAAACAUCAGGGAAUUAGAUGUCUCGGUCACUCACCCACUGGACUUUGAACAACUCAUGCUGGACCAAAAUACAAUGACCGGUCGUCUUGGAGAUUAUUGUUUGUGAUGAUGAUUUGGAAAUUUUUAACUAAUUGCGGUGUCCAGGGGUGACGGGGAUGACUGGAGUUCUUCUCUGAUGAGUGAUGUGAAGCCCCCUGUACGUAUACUGAAUGUAUCCUGAGUGUAAUCCUGUCCGGUAUACCUUCAGUAUACGUAACAGGAGGCUACACCGAUCGACGAUGAUCUUCGUUGGAGCAACUAUGAUGUUAUUCACACUUUAAAUCAAUCUGUACAUCUGGUCUUGGGGUAAUUUUAGGAUUAGGUAAUUAUUAGUUACGGUUGGGAAGGCUCAUUGGUGUUGGGUAAGAGCUCUUAUGUUGGAGUUGUAAGAAGUGAUUGUAAUAUUCCUUGGCUCAUAUUACUGGACAUAAAUUUGUUUAGCAUUAUCGGGGGAGAUUAUUAUAAAUUUGUGAAGGGUUGGGUAUUAAAUAGGUAAAAUAUUACUGUCGAUGCGGGUUUAUGUGUGAUGGAGGUUGUGUAGGUGAUUGAGAUAUUUGUGGUGUAUUGGGUAAUUGCUUGGGUUUUAUUUUUUGUUGAUCACGUUCAUUUUGAGUGGAUGAAAGGUCGCUGUGCCGGUUGUUGCAAUAUUUGUAAGGUCAGGGGGAUAGGGAAUUUUCUUAGUAAUUAAUUGUAUUUUCCAGUGAUUUGAAUGGGAAAGCGGUGGUUGUAUGAUAUUGAAAGAGACUACAAAUGAGAUCAUUAAAUACUAGAAUUGUAUUUUUUGUAAAUAACUAAUGUGUACAGAAAUAACUAUCAGUUAUGAUUGAAUUGUUUUUUUAGUCUGGGAAAUCUGUUAGUAAUUAAAUUUGAUCGAAAUUGUAAAUCACUUGUUUCAUUAUCUAUUUUGACUAAUGAAAUAUUUGUGUGAAAAUGUAUGUUUUAAUCCCAAAUAAUCAUAAAAUAAAUCAAAUUUGUUUUGCAA